rnacentral:rRNA from 1 species
AAUCAACGCUGGCGGCAUGCCUUACACAUGCAAGUCGAACGGUAACAGGUCUUCGGAUGCUGACGAGUGGCGAACGGGUGAGUAAUACAUCGGAACGUGCCUAGUAGUGGGGGAUAACUACUCGAAAGAGUGGCUAAUACCGCAUGAGAUCUACGGAUGAAAGCAGGGGAUCGCAAGACCUUGUGCUACUAGAGCGGCCGAUGGCAGAUUAGGUAGUUGGUGGGAUAAAAGCUUACCAAGCCGACGAUCUGUAGCUGGUCUGAGAGGACGAUCGGCCACGCUGGGGCUGAUACACGGCCCAAACUCCUACGGGAGGCAGAGGUGGGGAAUUUUGGACAAUGGGCGAAAGCCUGAUCCAGCAAUGCCACGUGCAGGAUGAAGGCCUUCGGGAUAUAAACUGCUUUUGUACGGAACGAAAAGCCCUGGGUUAAUACCCUGGGGUCAUGACGGUACCGUAAGAAUAAGCACCGGCUAACUACGUGCCAGCAGCCGCCGUAACAC